UCACGCACGCGCACACACACUCGUAGAGACCACCCAAUCACUCUAGAAAUAUAUACGCGUCUGGCCAAAAAUAACCCGCACAAUUUUUUUGAAGCCCUAAUCUAAACAAUUUUUUUCGCAAAAAAGUUGAACCCAGUUUAUUUUUCAAUCUGAUUGAUUCUCGCUCUCAAAAUCUAUCAGUUAAUUGAAGCCCUAGAGUGGAAUUGUUGGAAGCAUUGAGGAUGCAAGAAACCGACCAAUAAAAUUUCAUUGAGCUCUAUUCAAGCUUGAUUGAACGCAACAAAUUAAUCAGGUCACCAAUUUUUUCAUAUAGGAUCAACAAUUUUUAGCCUUGCAGAUCUCUUCUAUUGGUGCUACUUAUUCCACUUAGGUUGGAGUUGCACAAUGCAUGAAAACUAAAUGGAGGGUGGUUGCAAUCUUUAACGUGCUUCUGUUUGUUGUCUUGGAAGUUAUGCCAGACUAAUUGAUUCAAGAAAUCAAUCCAAAGUCUGUAAAGGCCUAGGAAGCACGGACACUCCAAAAUGGGCGAAGAAUCCGCGUCCGACACGUGUCUGACACGGACACGCGUCAGACACGCCCCGACACGUGUCGGACACGCCAAAAAACGUGUCUGGAUUUUUUUUUAAUUUUCGGACACGGCUGGGACACGGCUGGGACACGCCUCGGACACGGCUCAGACAGCUUGGACACGGCUCGGACACGGCUCAGACAGCUCGGACACGGCUCAAACACGGCUCGGACACACUUUUCUGGAUUUUUUUUUUUUUUUUUUUUUUUUUUUAAAUUUUUUAAUGCUGAUAUGUUCUAUUUUUUGUUUUGUACUACCCUAAAGAUGCUGAUAUAUAUAUAUACUAACCUAAAGAUGCCACAAUUCGCCGUGUCCGUGUCUUAAAGAUGCUGAUAUAUAUAUAUACACUAACGUAUUAGUGAUAUAUAUAUAUAUUCCAACCUAAACAUAUCAGUGUUUUUUUUAAAAAAUUAUUAAUGCUGAUAUAUAUAUAUAUAUAUACUAUUCGCCGUGUCCGUGUCCUAAUUUUUUUGGAUUUGCCGUGUCGCGUGUCCGUGUCGUGUCGUAUCCGUGUCCCGUAUCCGUGUCCGUGCUUCUUAGGUUUCACAUUGAUUGCAAUCUAGCUCCCCUUUUGGAUUCCGAUUUCUUUUGGGAUUUUGAUGUCUAUGCGAUUAGCAUUGUGUAAUAUUGGAUUUAUAACAUUUUGAUAUGUGCUGGAAUUAUUAUUUUAGAUGAUUUGCACAUUCUAAUAUUUAAAUUCUUAAUAGAAUAUGUGUUUUAUCUUC